AUACAGAGGGUGCGAGCGUUAAUCGGAAUUACUGGGCGUAAAGCGCGCGUAGGCGGCGUAUUAAGUCAGAUUUGAAAUCCCCGGGCUCAACCUGGGAACUGCAUCUGAUACUGGUAAGCUAGAGUUUUGGAGGGGGAGGUAGAAUUUCAGGUGUAGCGGUGAAAUGCAUAGAGAUCUGAAGGAAUACCAGUGGCGAAGGCGACUUCCUGGCCAAAAACUGACGCUGAGGUGCGAAAGCGUGGGUAGCAAACGGGAUUAGAAACCCUAGUAGUCC
rnacentral:rRNA from 1 species